rnacentral:rRNA from 1 species
UACGUAGGUGUCAAGCGUUGUCCGGAUUUAUUGGGCGUAAAGCGCCCGCAGGCGGCUUGCCAAGUUCGAUGUGAAAUCUCCCGGCUCAACUGGGAGGGUGCAUCGAAAACUGACAGGCUUGAGGCAGGGAGAGGGUGGUGGAAUUUCCUGUGUAGCGGUGAAAUGCGUAGAUAUAGGAAGGAACACCAGUGGCGAAGGCGACCACCUGGACUGAUACUGACACUGAGGUGCGAAAGCGUGGGGAGCAAACAGG